rnacentral:lncRNA from 1 species
GUGGGGAUGAUGACUACCACAGGGCCAUUAGGCUCGGCACCGGCCAGACAGCCUACGGAUGGGUCUCAGGGCCAUAGACAGCCUUCGGGUGGGUCUCUUCAGAUUUGACUUGAGUAUUCAUUAUGACAUGUGGACAGAUGAUGACUUAGUGUACUACUUGGACAUCGACUAGAAUAGUAAACAACGGAACUUUACUAUUUCGCAUUGUGGACAUUAUGAUAGUUGGAGACUUUUACUGCAUGCGUAGUUGGUUUCAUACUUAUGCUAUUUAUACUAAGUUGAGAUAUCAUGUUGUAGUAAGUUACGUAUUUACUUGCCUUUCGCUUACCUACAUUUAUAGUCACUGACAUCUAUUGUAGCUUUGGGCCUUGUGGUGCAUUCACUGAAGUCAGUAAUUGCCCACUGGGAACUAUUCUUAAUAGUUCUCACGCCCCUGUUUUAUGGUUUACUUUUCAGAGCCUUCGGCACCGGCGGAGGCACGGGAUCGCGGCAAGGGGAUCGCGUAGCUAGCUAGCGAGGAGCGGUACUUUGCUUAGGUGGUUUACUCUUUCUUUUUGUACUUGAGAGAGAGAGAGAGAUUUUUGUAUUCCUGUAUAGAGACCACCUAUGUAUUUACCUUUAGUACUUGUGAUGGGAUCCCUAUUGUUCUUACUUUAUGCUUUAUUUAGUGGAUUUAAAGUUUCAUUCUUACUUCUUGUUGUAGCAUUUAGACAUUCUUUAUGCUCUGAUACUCCUAGAUGUCUUUUAUUAUUGCUUUUAUUAUUGUUGUUGUUAGACGCCUUAUGCGUUUUAGACGCAUGGCGGGUCUGGGCACGUGCCGGGCGGGCUUCCGCUGGGUCCCGGGG